rnacentral:lncRNA from 1 species
AUGAAUUGCAGUGAUUUAAGGAAGCGUCUUGUGUCUGCCCUCCCUCUCCAGGUGCAGGUUCAGGGGAAGGGUCUGAGCAGGGUCUUCUCCCUCUUCCGCCCAGACUCCCUGCUUUCUCCGCAGCUCCCCGACGUCUUGGUCCCCGACUUCUGGGCGAGCCUGCCAAGCGUUUGCAGCUCCCUCUGUCCCAUCCCCUUUCUGGCCGGGGGUCCUGUGCUCUUCCCUGGGAAGGUGAUGGCUACCAUGGUGCUCAGAGCUUGUCUGCACUUGCAGCUCUGGGAAUGUGGACAGCCGGUGUCCCUUGAUGACUGUCCAGAACCUCAAGGUCAGAGCCUGUGGGGCCCUCAGGGACCGGCUGCCUCUGGGUGGAGGAGAUGCAGGGCCCAGAGCCCAGCUGUUGUGGGAGCACGCCUAGGGCGCCCCCAAAGGCUUCAUGGGCCUGUUUUGAGCUGGUGGGAAGAAGAUGACUCAGUGCAAAGCACUUGCCCUCACGCAGCCUCAGAAGGCUUCCCCCGAGGACUUCCCCGAGACCCCCGGCCAGGACUCUCCCGUCUCCCCCAGCCUGGAGCGGCCACAGCCAGCGUCUGGUGCGAGUUGGCAGAUUCCACAGAAUCUGGCCCUUCUACGUGACGCAGCCGCAGCCCCGGUGGGUGUUGUUGGGGUGUGGUUCCUGCAGAGAAGGCUGGGGGCCUGAGGACUCAGGCCACAGGUGUCAGGACUGGCCGUUCCGCAGGGCUGCGUCCACAACAAUCCUGCCAAACCGGCUGGGAACCUGUCUUGCUGGGUGCAAGGCCUCUGGGACCUCAGUCCACCCACGUGGGGGCGGGUGGUGUCAGACAAGAGGCCCAAAGAGGCCUUCCCCGUCCUGCCCCCCCACCCCAGACAGAGCCCACUCCCUCUGCCCGGGAGCCAUGCCCUGGGAUGGUCCUUGGCUCUGCAGCAAACCCCGAUGGACUCCGGAGUUUGUUAGUUACCUCUGAACCUGCCCCGGGUACUGGACGCCAGCCUGGGACCCAGGGCACAGCGAUGGGCAGUGGGGGUCGGGCCUGCCCCCAUGGGCUCCCAGGGAAGCCGGGCUCCGAGCAGGUGUUCUGUCCCUUCUCAAAGCCUCGAGGGGACAGAUGGGCAGCUCUGUGGGCCAAGGACAGAGGAGCAGGUAUGGGGGCAGGUGGGGCUCAGAGAGCGUGGCUGCCAAGCCUGGUUGGGGCAGGAUGACAGCCAGUGCAGAGGCCCCGAGGUGGGAAAGAGAGGCAUUAGGAGACCCCAAAAGGGAGGCUGGCGGGCGGGGGGAGCUGGCAGGGUGGGCAGGUGCUUCUCGGGGAGCUGAGAGCCCGGGGCGGGGGGUGGGGGGACAGAAAGGCCACCAGUACUGAACAUGAGCCAUUAGGACUCGAGUGAAAGGUGGACUAGGAGCCAGGCUGUGACCCGUCUGAUGACACAGGCCCUGGGAGGGGGCCACAAGUGACCUCACACAGCCGCCCUCCCCCUUCCCACUCGAGGAAACUGAGGCUCAGAGACGGGGGGCGGGGGGGAGCCCCUGGUGCUGGGCUGUCCCUGUCCCCCUCACGCCCCGACGCGGGCCUCGUGUUCUGUGCUCUGGCAGCUUGGUUUGUGGAGCUCCCGUGUCGCU